rnacentral:tRNA from 1 species
CCCGGCUUAGCUCAACUUGGCAGAGCGUGCGGCUGUAGACCGCAAGGUUCCUGGUUCGAUUCCGGGAGCCGGGA